AAGUGUGGGGUCAGGCGUAGUUAGCUUACAGUAAACAGUAAACAAAGUUUGACACACCAAAUGUUGAGUGACACAUGGUGUCACAGGAAGAGUGAAAGUUGGCGGCAUCUGUGAGAGUGGUCUACCCUUCCAGCACUCUCGCUCAAAGACACCGCAGCACGCGCUCCACGUCGCAACCGCCGCACCACUCGACAUCCGGGAACUUGGCACUGUCCUUGUCGGAGGCGAUGCGCGUAGCGGUGGUUGCUGCUGCUGCUGCUGUGUCUCCGAGUUGCUGCUGUCGUCUUCCCGCGUACGGCCGUGUGCAAUCACACCAUUGAUUCGCGUCGCAAGGAGCGAAACACUAGGAUCUGUCAACACCGCGCCACUUCUCCAAGGUGGGCGGCGCCAUGGAGAGCGACGAGGAUGAGAGCGGGCUGGUGAACACCUACUGCUACGAGGACCUCACCUUCCUGGAGGCGUGUCUGGAGGCCGACCUGGAUGCCAUCGCCGCCAUCUUGGAGGAAAACCCCACGGAGGAGGAGAUGAACGAGAGAGACCGCUCGGGACGGACUGGCCUCAGUCACUUGUGCUCGUCUGGUCUCGCACCUGCCGUGGAUCUUCUCAGUGAUGUUCAGGAGGUAGAUGUCAACCUGCCUGACAAAGAAGGAAACACACCUUUAAUCUUCGCCGCCCAAGCGGGCCACUCUGACGUGGUGAGGGUGCUGCUACAGGACUUCAAGGGAAUCCGCAUUGACCAGCCCAACAAGCUGGGCUUCACCGCCCUCAUGAAGGCCGCCAUCCAGGGCCGCACGGACUGCGCUCGCCUGCUGCUGUACGCAGGUGCCGACCCCAAGCUGCGGGACCACGGGCGCAAGCUGUGUGCCCAGGAGUGGGCGAGGUACUGUGGGCGCAAGGACUGUGCGGACGCCAUCGCCAAGUUCUCCAACACCAAGCGCUUCUGUCUCAAGUCUCGCUUCACCGCGGGCCUGGAGCGCUCCAGCAGCCUGCCAGACCUCUUCGCCGGCCAGCAGAUGGCCAAGCCGCCACACAAGCGCUCACACUCGCUGCGAAAGAAAAUUCGCAAAAUGUUGCCAGGCAACCACGACAGCAACACGCUGAACGUCGCCAGUGCCGGAAGUCCUUUCGCGGUUAUUGCCCGCUGCGUCUCGACUCCAGCGCUUCCUGGCGGACUGAAAUCGCCUCCAGCCAUGAAGAGGCCCGUGAGUGCAGACAGCAUACCGCGAGUGGAGGUGACGGUGCCUUAUGACGAGGCCACCCACAUCCGGCAGGACUACCCGGCUUGUUCUCGGAGGAGGAUACGAAAAUGUCCGCCUGUAGCAGACGACACCAACUUUGACUGCGUGACCACUGGUCAGUGACGCCCCCCCCCCUCAAGAUGCACGGUGUCUGUAAGUGUAACUAUGCCAACGGUGUUUCUGGCUGUGUCUAUGCGCCCGGUGACGUGUCAAGGUGAUGAAGAUUUGUGUCGUGUCACUAAUGACAGCUGAUGUCAGCUGAUGACACAACAAACGACUCCGCAAUGUGACGUGCACAGCUGCUCACAGCUCACAGCUCACAAAGUGAAGUUUGUCACAUGACACAGUGACGUGUGCGAGAACACGAUGGGAAGUGACCUACGACGUCACCGUGCAAAGGCAGUGUUACGUCACAAGAUGGAGAUAGCAGAUUGAGUGAUGGACAGUUUUAAAUUCACAUUUUCAGAGUUAGUGUGAACCCUGUACAUACACGCACCUCUUGAAACUCGCGAGCACAGGUGAAAUGGAGGACAGUCCUCAGACAAAGUAAGCAAAGCUUCUGACCUGUCCGCGAGCUCACCCUCCACGGUCACGUGUCUUCUCUUUAUUUCCGUUCAGUACACUGUCACGUGCUCGUCACACUGUAAACACUUCAAGGUUUGUACAGAAAUCUCACCUGAGCGCCUCUGUCCUCAGACCUUCUGCAGGCUGUUUGUGGGCGGCGGUCUUUGUUGACUGGUUGACAACAGUCGCUCUUCUCUGGCUUUUCACUUCCAGGUGAUGACACCUCACGUUCGUUCUCCAACUGCAUGGACACGAUGAUCACUAGGCAUCUGCAACAGAGAUCACUAAGUAGUCAAGUAAUCAAUGUUUCUUAAGGUGUUUAUCACACUCGUCAGUGAGAAGUACUUCCCCUCCUUAUACUCCAAUCUUCGUGGUGGUGUGGCGUGGUGUGGCGUGGUGUGGCGUGGUGUCAAAUGUCAUGUUCCUGUCGUGCCCUGGAACAUUUCACAAAUCUCCUGCGUCCCCUGAUUAUUAUUAUUAUUAUUUAUUUAUUUCUCCUUUUAAAAAACACGAAGAGAUGAAAGUUGGGUUAGUAGAACUUGACUUGUUUUGUCUGAGCGGUCAUGUUGACACACUGCUGCUCAAACUGCCAGCAGGAAAGACAACGGUCACAUCGUCCUGUCACCACCUUAUCCCAGUCCAGGUGCAAAGUGGCACAGGUAGCUAGGUAGCUGUGUGACAGUAAACGUUGCUGGUUACACAACACAUGUGGCAUCAGUAGGUCACAUGCCACUGAGAAAUUCAGUGUCAGGUAACAGUCUAACACGUCACUCAGUGUCACGUAACAUUCAGUGUCAGGUAACAGUCUAACACGUCACUCAGUGUCACGUAACAUUCAGUGUCAGGUAACAGUCUAACACGUCACUCAGUGUCACAUAAUAUUCAGUGUCAGGUAACAGUCUAACACGUCACUCAGUGUCACGUAACAUUCAGUGUCAC
rnacentral:misc_RNA from 1 species